rnacentral:rRNA from 1 species
UACGAAGAAGGCGAGCGUUAUUCGGAAUUAUUGGGCGUAAAGGGCGCGUAGGCGGCCUACUAAGUCAGACGUGAAAUCCCCCGGCUUAACCUGGGAACUGCGUCCGAUACUGGAAGGCUUGAGUAUGGGAGAGGGAUGUAGAAUUCCAGGUGUAGCGGUGAAAUGCGUAGAUAUCUGGAGGAAUACCGGUGGCGAAGGCGGCAUCCUGGACCAUUACUGACGCUGAGGCGCGAAAGCUAGGGGAGCAAACGGG